CGCUGGUCGAGCGGGCUCGGCAAGGCCGGGAUGAAGAGGAGCUGCGAACCAGGAUCCGACCCAGUACCCCCAAAGCCCCUCGAGUGAAUAUCCACGCGGAAAGGAUGUUGGCAGUCCGGGUGACCUGGGAGUCAUGGCUGAAUCCACCCUCCCGAAGAGAUGACAGCAGGAUCGCUUGAAGAUGCAAACCAACCCCAUGUCCUGAGGAAAACAGCCCUAUGCCAUUUUAUGCACGACCUUAGCAUGACUAUGGUAAGAAGAUGCUCUCCAGAAGACUGUUCUUGUGGACGGCAUGGAGCCCCAUUUGGGGAUUUUCUGAACCCUGUGGAUGUUACAGUGAGAUGCACUUACCUGAGGAGUGAUGCUGGUGGAUGCGGAUUCUGGAAGAACUCACCUGGCUUGCCUUGGGAAGCUACAAGGUGGCCUAAUGGAUUCUUUCAGACUGGAUGCCCACUGGAGACAAGGACAGUAGCUGAGAAGACUGUAUCUCAACCCUUGACUCAAUGUGAAUAUUUGCUCUGAUCCCCGGGUAACCUGGAGCUCCCUCAAAAAUAGAGCCGAGUUCUGUCACCAUGGACGCUGGCAGUGGCAUUUUCAUUCCCGUGGCAAGCAGUCAGUCCUGAGGUGGAAAAAUUACCUGUGAGAGCUGGCUUGUAAACAACGCAGGCUUUGGAGAAGGCACAAUUUUCCCACGCUGACAAGCCUGGGGCUCUGCAUAGGGAAUGAAGAUCCAGACCAAGGAUGAUGACCAAAGGCCUGAGGACCCCAGUCGCAAAGUGCAAAGUAUCCUUGGACUUUCGGGAUGCAUACCCGUUAAGCAUUCCAGAAGGAUUCGAGGAUCAUCCUGUUCUAAAAUAAAGCUGGAGUGUUUGGGGGAUUUGGAAAAUUGAGAUGAGAAGCAUCUACUUAGAAAUGCCAAGUCACUCAGCUGAUAAAUAGCAAAGACAGAAGUCAUCAAGCUAGAGGCAAUUCUGUGAGACAGUUGAGCGCUCCAGAGCUGGUAGGAGAUUGAUGGACUUACACAGAAGAUAGAUCCAGCCGUGCCGUUGGCCCUAUGAGAAGGAGACACUCUUUCCAGAAGACAUAGAACAUUCCUGAACCUGGAAAGAUGCCUGGAAACUGCGAGAAGACAGAAGAGAGCACUUCCCCCUCCUGCCUGGGCAUCUCCCACCAUACUCAAUACUUUUCACCGGGUCACUGCUGAGCUGUCCUCGUUCAGUCUUGGUUUGAUGGAAUAUUAGUCUGAAAUUUUUACUUUCAAUUAAACUCACUUGUUGAACCACCUCUAUCUUCAAAGGAUUCUAUUAGGAUGGCUAAUUAUAGCUAUUGCUACAAGGCAUUAUUUGCACUCAAUUUCAGCUCUUAGGCAAUUUGGUUUAAGUGUUUUAUAUUUUCACUCUUCGGAGUUAUGUGUAACCAUCAUCCUCCUAU